rnacentral:rRNA from 1 species
AUGGUUCCAUAUGAUGGUUUCACAAAGGCAGAGGAAGUUUCCAUGGUGUAUAUGCCAAUUUGGCUACAGAUUCACAAGAUCCCGGAAGGUUUCUGCAGGAAGAACAUUGUGGAAAAUUUGCUGAAAAACUCUGGCGAGAUCCUGGAGAUGAGACUGAACGGGAAUACCCGUGGUGACUACAUUAGGGUUAGGGUUCGGCAUGACGUGCGCCGACCUCUCACCAAGUUUGUCAGUAUUGUCAGGGGGAAAGAACGCCAAGUCUACUUGGUGCGUUACGAGAAACUCGCACACUUCUGCAGUGUGUGUGGGCUCAUUGGUCAUGAUUGCAAAGAGUGCGGAUCAGGGGUGCAUGAGGAGAAGGACAAGAAGUAUGGA